rnacentral:sRNA from 1 species
CACACGUGAGGCAUGGGAUGUUCCGGGAGAAAUCCGGAUCGUUCCGCCGGUGGGCUUUUCGAAAGAUGAGCUCGACGUCUCGCGGAGGUUCAACCGGAAAAGGAGAAAAGGC